rnacentral:rRNA from 1 species
UACGCAGGGGGCUAGCGUUGCUCGGAAUCACUGGGCGUAAAGGGUGCGUAGGCGGGUCUUUAAGUCAGGGGUGAAAUCCUGGAGCUCAACUCCAGAACUGCCUUUGAUACUGAGGAUCUUGAGUUCGGGAGAGGUGAGUGGAACUGCGAGUGUAGAGGUGAAAUUCGUAGAUAUUCGCAAGAACACCAGUGGCGAAGGCGGCUCACUGGACCACAACUGACGCUGAGGCGCGAAAGCUAGGGGAGCAAACAGG